GGUGUCGUAGUCUAAUGGUCAUGAUAACUCGUUGUGGAACACAAGCAAAGCCGAGUUUGUCCCGGUUCGAUUCCGGGCGAUGCCA
rfam:Trichophyton rubrum CBS 118892 genomic scaffold supercont2.9, whole genome shotgun sequence.